rnacentral:rRNA from 1 species
GAAACGACUGCUAAUACCGCAUAAGCCCACGGUCUCGCAUGAGACAGAGGGAAAAGGAGCAAUCCGCUUUGAGAUGGCCUCGCGUCCGAUUAGCUGGUUGGUGAGGUAACGGCCCACCAAGGCGACGAUCGGUAGCCGGACUGAGAGGUUGAACGGCCACAUUGGGACUGAGACACGGCCCAGACUCCUACGGGAGGCAGCAGUGGGGAAUAUUGCACAAUGGGGGAAACCCUGAUGCAGCGACGCCGCGUGGAGGAAGAAGGUCUUCGGAUUGUAAACUCCUGUUGUUGGGGAAAAAGAGGAUGGUACCCAACAAGGAAGUGACGGCUAACUACGUGCCAGCAGCCGCGGUAAAACGUAGGUCACAAGCGUUGUCCGGAAUUACUGGGUGUAAAGGGAGCGCAGGCGGGUAUGCAAGUUGGGAGUGAAAUACAUGGGCUCAACCCAUGAACUGCUUUCAAAACUGUGUAUCUUGAGUAGUGCAGAGGUAGGCGGAAUUCCCGGUGUAGCGGUGGAAUGCGUAGAUAUCGGGAGGAACACCAGUGGCGAAGGCGGCCUGCUGGGCACCAACUGACGCUGAGGCUCGAAAGUGUGGGUAGCAAACAGGAUUAGAUACCCUGGUAGUCCACACCGUAAACGAUGAUUACUAGGUGUUGGAGGAUAGACCCCUUCAGUGCCGCAGU